AGAGUUUGAUUCUGGCUCAGGAUGAACGCUGGCGGCGUGCCUAAUACAUGCAAGUCGAACGGGGAGUACUUACUUCGGUUUUUACUCCUAGUGGCGAACGGGUGAGUAACGCGUUGGUGACCUGCCCCGAAGCGGGGGAUAACAGUUCGAAAGGACUGCUAAUACCCCAUGUGGUCGUACAGGUUAGAGGCUAUACGACUAAAGGAGCAAUCCACUUCGGGAGGGGCCUGCGUCCCAUCAGCUAGUUGGUAAGGUAACGGCCUACCAAGGCGAUGACGGGUAGGGGACCUGAGAGGGUGGUCCCCCACACUGGCACUGAAACACGGGCCAGACACCUACGGGUGGCAGCAGUAGGGAAUAUUGCACAAUGGGCGAAAGCCUGAUGCAGCAACGCCGCGUGCGCGAAGAAGGCCUUCGGGUUGUAAAGCGCUUUUCUGGAGGAAGAGGAAGGACGGUACUCCAGGAAUAAGGAUCGGCUAACUACGUGCCAGCAGCCGCGGUAACACGUAGGAUCCGAGCGUUAUCCGAAUUUACUGGGCGUAAAGCGCGUGUAGGCGGCCGGGUAAGUUGGACGUGAAAGCUCCUGGCUCAACUAGGAGAGGUCGUUCAAAACUGCCUGGCUAGAGGGCGACAGAGGGAGGUGGAAUUCCCGGUGUAGUGGUGAAAUGCGUAGAUAUCGGGAGGAACACCAGUGGCGAAGGCGGCCUCCUGGGUCGCUCCUGACGCUCAGACGCGAAAGCUAGGGGAGCAAACGGGAUUAGAUACCCCGGUAGUCCUAGCUGUAAACGAUGUGGACUUGGCGUUGGUGGUGUCAAAGCCAUCAGUGCCGUAGCUAACGCGAUAAGUCCACCGCCU
rnacentral:rRNA from 1 species